rnacentral:rRNA from 1 species
GAUGAACGCUAGCGACAGGCCUAACACAUGCAAGUCGAGGGGCAGCGCGGGAGAAGCUUGCUUUUUCCCGGCGGCGACCGGCGCACGGGUGCGUAACAGGUGUGCAAUCUGUCCUAUACCAGAGCAUAGCCCAGCGAAAGUUGGAUUAAUUCUCUAUGUGAGCCGAGAGGGCAUCCUUUUGGUUUGAAACGUGAGGGUAUAGGGUGAGCACGCUUCUGAUUAGCUAGUUGGUGAGGUAACGGCUCACCAAGGCGACGAUCAGUAGGGGUUCUGAGAGGAAGGUCCCCCANACUGGAACUGAGACACGGUCCAGACUCUACGGGAGCAGCAGUGAGGAAUAUUGGUCAAUGGGCGAGAGCCUGAACCAGCCAAGUAGCGUGAAGGAAGACUGCCCUAUGGGUUGUAAACUUUCUUUGUUCGGAAUAAAGUUCAGUAUGUAUACUG